rnacentral:rRNA from 1 species
UACGGAGGGGACUAGCGUUGUUCGGAAUUACUGGGCGUAAAGCGCACGUGGACGGAUUUGUAAGUCAGGGGUGAAAUCCCGGGGCUCAACCUCGGAACUGCCUUUGAUACUGCAAAUCUCGAGUCCGGAAGAGGUGAGUGGAAUUCCUAGUGUAGAGGUGAAAUUCGUAGAUAUUAGGAAGAACACCAGUGGCGAAGGCGGCUCACUGGUCCGGUACUGACGCUGAGGUGCGAAAGCGUGGGGAGCAAACAGG